rnacentral:rRNA from 1 species
CCUACGGGAGGCAGCAGUGGGGAAUAUUGCGCAAUGGGCGCAAGCCUGACGCAGCGACGCCGCGUGAGGGAUGAAGGUCUUCGGAUCGUAAAACUCUGUCAGCAGGGAAGAACGGUCACUGUGCUAAUCAGCAGUGCAUUGACGGUACCUGCAAAGGAAGCACCGGCUAACUCCGUGCCAGCAGCCGCGGUAAUACGGAGGGUGCGAGCGUUAAUCGGAAUUACUGGGCGUAAAGCGCUCGUAGGCGGGAUGUCAAGUCAAGGGUGAAAUCCCCGCGCUCAACGUGGGAACUGCCUUUGAAACUGGCAAACUGGAGUGUGGGAGAGGAUAGUGGAAUUCCAGGUGUAGGGGUGAAAUCCGUAGAUAUCUGGAGGAACAUCAGUGGCGAAGGCGACUAUCUGGCACAUAACUGACGCUGAGGAGCGAAAGCGUGGGUAGCAAACAGGAUUAGAUACCCCUGUAGUC